rnacentral:tRNA from 1 species
UAUCCAGAAGGUAGAAUCGAACCACUCCGCUUUUAAACGACUACAGGUUUGAACCCUGCACCCCGAACCUCCGAAUUUCAUCUGGGC